GUGUCAGCCGCCGCGGUAAGACAGAGGGUGCGAACGUUGUUCGGAAUUACUGGGCGUAAAGCGCGUGUAGGCGGCAGCGUGUGUCGGGCGUGAAAUCCCACGGCUCAACCGUGGAAGUGCACUCGAAACUGCGCAGCUUGAGUCCUGGAGAGGAAGGUGGAAUGCUUGGUGUAGAGGUGAAAUUCGUAGAUAUCAAGCGGAACACCGGUGGCGAAGGCGACCUUCUGGACAGUGACUGACGCUGAGACGCGAAAGCGUGGGGAGCAAACAGGAUUAGAUACCCCCGUAGUCC
rnacentral:rRNA from 1 species